UACGGGGGGGGGCAAGCGUUGUUCGGAAUUACUGGGCGUAAAGGGCUCGUAGGUGGCCGACUAAGUCAGACGUGAAAUCCCUCAGCUUAACCGGGGAACUGCGUCUGAUACUGGAUGGCUUGAGUUCGGGAGAGGGAUGCGGAAUUCCAGGUGUAGCGGUGAAAUGCGUAGAUAUCUGGAGGAACACCGGUGGCGAAGGCGGCAUCCUGGACCGACACUGACGCUGAGGAGCGAAAGCGUGGGGAGCGAACAGG
rnacentral:rRNA from 1 species